AUGGGCGGCGGCGCGGCGGACCAUGGCCAGGCCAGCGCUGCCCCUCCCAUCGAUCCGGCCGUCCUUGAGCCCCGGCGCGAGCCCCGUGCUCGUCUGCUUCCGCCGCGGCACGGCCUGCAGGAGACGGCAACGCUGCCGAUCCCCGACGAGCUCGUGGCGGAGAUCUUCCUCCGGCUGCCCCCAACCGAUCUGGUCCGCGCCUCCGCCGCCUGCGCCUCGUUCUACCGUCUCAUCGCCAGCCGCUCCUUCCUCCGUCGCUUCCGCAAGCUCCACGCCCUGCCCCUCCUCGGAUUCCUCGAUCUCUCCGGGAAAUUCUUCGGAGUGGCCCCGCCUUCUCCUUCAGCGUCCGCGGCCCGCGCCGUCGCCCUCGCCGCCGACUUCUCCUUCUCCUUCCUACCCGGCCCCGCUCGGGACUGGAAGGUCCAGGACGUCCGCGGCGGCCGCGUUCUCCUCAACAGAUCUCCCUUCGACAAUCUCUCCCUGGUGGUGUGCGACCCCCUGCACCGGCGGUACCUCCUGCUUCCCCCAAUCCCUGAAGUCGAGGGGUGGCUUCCUAGUUCAGUGGACAACCCACCACGCCACACAGGACGGCAAGCCCUCCUUGGUGACGACCAGGAGGCCAUGGAAGAGACAUCGUUCACGGUGAUCUCAACUGUAUUGCGCGGAAAUAAGCAGGCCGCUUUUGUCUUCUCUUCCAGCACCGGACAAUGGCGAGCUAGUAUAUGGAACGCCGGGUUUGGUUUCUUCUUCAGGCUCUGGUACGCCAAUGGCUGCUUCUAUGGGGUGACAGAAUGCAGGAAAAAGUUGCUAGCACUUGACACCCGGAGGAUGGAGUUCUCACUUUCUGACCUCCCACCCGAAGCCGGAGAUUUUUCGCAACUAGACGUAGGUCCUUUCAAACAGUGCGUGAAUAUAGCCAUUGUGGAGGCAGGGGAAGGCAUCACUGGGAUGUUUGUGCUUCCACAUCACACAUCAAACAUCAGUUAUCUAACUAGGCGAAACAAUGGUGGGAGUUCCAGCCAGUGGCAGUUGAAGAAGACAAUCCCACUGGAUUCUUCUUGGUACAUUUUCAUUAGUUCAACAGGGAGGUACUUGCUUCUACUACGAAGGAGAAGAAUAGAAGCUUUCAUGUUGGAUAUCAAAACAUUCCAACUUGAGAAGGUGUUCAGUGAUGUCGUUUCGCGGUAUGUAUAUAGAAGCUUCCCACCGUCGUUGUUUUCGUCACCGACAAUAUCAUGCGGUGUUGAGAACGAGGCCGAGGAGACGCUGGAACAAGGCUGCACUGCAAGCUCAAGUGCAUAG
rnacentral:rRNA from 1 species